rnacentral:rRNA from 1 species
CGGGACGGGUGAGUAAUGCUUGGGAAUCUAGCUUAUGGAGGGGGAUAACUACGGGAAACGGUAGCUAAUACCGCGUAGUAUCGGAAGAUGAAAGUGUGGGACCUUCGGGCCACAUGCCAUAGGAUGAGCCCAAGUGGGAUUAGGUAGUUGGUGAGGUAAAGGCUCACCAAGCCGACGAUCUCUAGCUGGUCUGAGAGGAUGACCAGCCACACUGGGACUGAGACACGGCCCAG